UUAAGCGACUAAGCGUACACGGUGGAUGCCCUGGCAGUCAGAGGCGAUGAAGGACGUGCUAAUCUGCGAAAAGCGCCGGCGAGGUGAUAUGAACCUUUGACCCGGCGAUGUCCGAAUGGGGAAACCCAGUGUGAUUCGUCACACUAUCGUUAACUGAAUACAUAGGUUAACGAGGCGAACCGGGGGAACUGAAACAUCUAAGUACCCCGAGGAAAAGAAAUCAACCGAGAUUCCCCCAGUAGCGGCGAGCGAACGGGGAGCAGCCCAGAGUCUGAAUCAGCUUGUGUGUUAGUGGAACGGUCUGGAAAGUCCGACGGUACAGGGUGAUAGUCCCGUACACGAAAGCACACAGGCUGUGAACUCGAAGAGUAGGGCGGGACACGUGGUAUCCUGUCUGAAUAUGGGGGGACCAUCCUCCAAGGCUAAAUACUCCUGACUGACCGAUAGUGAACCAGUACCGUGAGGGAAAGGCGAAAAGAACCCCGGCGAGGGGAGUGAAAAAGAACCUGAAACCGUGUACGUACAAGCAGUGGGAGCACCUUCGUGGUGUGACUGCGUACCUUUUGUAUAAUGGGUCAGCGACUUAUAUUCUGUAGCAAGGUUAACCGUAUAGGGGAGCCGAAGGGAAACCGAGUCUUAACUGGGCGUUAAGUUGCAGGGUAUAGACCCGAAACCCGGUGAUCUAGCCAUGGGCAGGUUGAAGGUUGGGUAACACUAACUGGAGGACCGAACCGACUAAUGUUGAAAAAUUAGCGGAUGACUUGUGGCUGGGGGUGAAAGGCCAAUCAAACCGGGAGAUAGCUGGUUCUCCCCGAAAGCUAUUUAGGUAGCGCCUCGUGAACUCAUCUUCGGGGGUAGAGCACUGUUUCGGCUAGGGGGCCAUCCCGGCUUACCAACCCGAUGCAAACUACGAAUACCGAAGAAUGUUAUCACGGGAGACACACGGCGGGUGCUAACGUCCGUCGUGAAGAGGGAAACAACCCAGACCGCCAGCUAAGGUCCCAAAGUCAUGGUUAAGUGGGAAACGAUGUGGGAAGGCACAGACAGCCAGGAUGUUGGCUUAGAAGCAGCCAUCAUUUAAAGAAAGCGUAAUAGCUCACUGGUCGAGUCGGCCUGCGCGGAAGAUGUAACGGGGCUAAACCAUGCACCGAAGCUGCGGCAGCGACACUAUGUGUUGUUGGGUAGGGGAGCGUUCUGUAAGCCGUUGAAGGUGUCCUGUGAGGGAUGCUGGAGGUAUCAGAAGUGCGAAUGCUGACAUAAGUAACGAUAAUGCGGGUGAAAAGCCCGCACGCCGGAAGACCAAGGGUUCCUGUCCAACGUUAAUCGGGGCAGGGUGAGUCGACCCCUAAGGCGAGGCCGAAAGGCGUAGUCGAUGGGAAACAGGUUAAUAUUCCUGUACUUGGUGUUACUGCGAAGGGGGGACGGAGAAGGCUAUGUUAGCCGGGCGACGGUUGUCCCGGUUUAAGCAUGUAGGCGGAACGAUUAGGUAAAUCCGGUCGUUUAUUAACGCUGAGGUGUGAUGACGAGGCACUACGGUGCUGAAGUAACAAAUGCCCUGCUUCCAGGAAAAGCCUCUAAGCAUCAGGUAACAUCAAAUCGUACCCCAAACCGACACAGGUGGUCAGGUAGAGAAUACCAAGGCGCUUGAGAGAACUCGGGUGAAGGAACUAGGCAAAAUGGUGCCGUAACUUCGGGAGAAGGCACGCUGAUAUGUAGGUGAAGCCCCUGCGGGUGGAGCUGAAAUCAGUCGAAGAUACCAGCUGGCUGCAACUGUUUAUUAAAAACACAGCACUGUGCAAACACGAAAGUGGACGUAUACGGUGUGACGCCUGCCCGGUGCCGGAAGGUUAAUUGAUGGGGUUAGCGGCAACGCGAAGCUCUUGAUCGAAGCCCCGGUAAACGGCGGCCGUAACUAUAACGGUCCUAAGGUAGCGAAAUUCCUUGUCGGGUAAGUUCCGACCUGCACGAAUGGCGUAAUGAUGGCCAGGCUGUCUCCACCCGAGACUCAGUGAAAUUGAACUCGCUGUGAAGAUGCAGUGUACCCGCGGCAAGACGGAAAGACCCCGUGAACCUUUACUAUAGCUUGACACUGAACACUGGUCCUUGAUGUGUAGGAUAGGUGGGAGGCUUUGAAGCGUGGACGCCAGUCUGCGUGGAGCCGACCUUGAAAUACCACCCUUUAAUGGCUGGUGUUCUAACGUAGACCCGUAAUCCGGGUUGCGGACAGUGUCUGGUGGGUAGUUUGACUGGGGCGGUCUCCUCCCAAAGAGUAACGGAGGAGCACGAAGGUUAGCUAAUCCUGGUCGGACAUCAGGAGGUUAGUGCAAUGGCAUAAGCUAGCUUGACUGCGAGAGUGACGGCUCGAGCAGGUGCGAAAGCAGGUCAUAGUGAUCCGGUGGUUCUGAAUGGAAGGGCCAUCGCUCAACGGAUAAAAGGUACUCCGGGGAUAACAGGCUGAUACCGCCCAAGAGUUCAUAUCGACGGCGGUGUUUGGCACCUCGAUGUCGGCUCAUCACAUCCUGGGGCUGAAGUAGGUCCCAAGGGUAUGGCUGUUCGCCAUUUAAAGUGGUACGCGAGCUGGGUUUAGAACGUCGUGAGACAGUUCGGUCCCUAUCUGCCGUGGGCGCUGGAGAAUUGAGGGGGGCUGCUCCUAGUACGAGAGGACCGGAGUGGACGCAUCACUGGUGUUCGGGUUGUCAUGCCAAUGGCACUGCCCGGUAGCUAAAUGCGGAAGAGAUAAGUGCUGAAAGCAUCUAAGCACGAAACUUGCCCCGAGAUGAGUUCUCCCUGACCCUUUAAGGGUCCUGAAGGAACGUUGAAGACUACGACGUUGAUAGGUCGGGUGUGUAAGCGCAGCGAUGCGUUGAGCUAACCGAUACUAAUGAACCGUGAGGCUUAACCUU
rnacentral:rRNA from 1 species